rnacentral:pre_miRNA from 1 species
UGAGUACUUCCUCCAUUCCAUAAUUCUUGUCGAAAUAUUACAUGUAUCUAGACGCUUUUUAGGAAUAGAUACAUCCAUUUUUGGGCAAAUUUGAGACAAGAAUUAUGAAACGGAGGGAGUACUAA